UCCGGUUUGUCACCGGCAGUCUCCCAUGAGUCCCCGACAUGACUCGCUGGCAACAUGGGACAGGGGCUGCGCUCGUUGCGGGACUUAACCCAACAUCUCACGACACGAGCUGACGACAGCCAUGCACCACCUGUACACCUGCCCCGAAGGGCUGUCGUAUUUCUACGACAUUCAGGUGCAUGUCAAGCCCUGGUAAGGUUCUUCGCGUUGCGUCGAAUUAAACCACAUGCUCCGCUGCUUGUGCGGGCCCCCGUCAAUUCCCUUGAGUUUUAGCCUUGCGGCCGUACUCCCCAGGCGGGGCACUUAAUGCGUUAGCUUCGGCACGGAGGGAGUCGACACCCCCCACACCUAGUGCCCAUCGUUUACAGCGUGGACUAC
rnacentral:misc_RNA from 1 species